GACGAACGCUGGCGGCGUGCUUAACACAUGCAAGUCGAACGGAAAGACCCUGCUUUUGUGGGUUUCUCGAUUGGCGAACGGGGGAGUAACACGUGAGUAACCUGCCCUUGUCUUUGGGAUAACUUCUGGAAACUGGGGCUAAUAUCGGAGAGGAUCUCCUGCUGCAUGUGGUGGGUUGGAAAAUUUCGGCUGUUGUGGCUGGUCUGGCGGCUUAUGAGCUUGUUUGUGGGGUAGGUGCUUUCCAGGCUUUUGACGGGUAGCCGGCAUAAGAGGUUUACCGGCGACAUUGCGCCUGAGGUACGGAGCAGAAUCCUACGGGAGGCAGUGGUGGGGAAUAUUGCAGAAUGGCCGGAAGCCUGAUGCAGCAACGCCGCGUGCGGGAUGACGGCCUUCGAGUUGUAAACCGCUUUGGACUGUGACGAGGCGUGCGUGACGGUAAUGGGUAAAGAAGCAACGGCUAACUACGUG
rnacentral:rRNA from 1 species